AGGCAGCAGUAGGGAAUAUUGCACAAUGGGCGAAAGCCCGAUGCAGCAACGCCGCGUGCACGAUGAAGGCCUUCGGGUCGUAAAGUGCUUUUCGGGGAGAUGAGGAAGGACAGUAUCCCCGGAAUAAGGAUCGGCUAACUACGUGCCAGCAGCCGCGGUAAAACGUAGGAUCCGAGCGUUAUCCGAAUUUACUGGGCGUAAAGCGCGUGCAGGCGGUGCGGUAAGUUGGAUGUGAAAGCUCCCGGCUCAACUGGGAGAGGUCGUUCAAUACUGCCGGACUCGAGGAUGGUAGAGGGAGGUGGAAUUCCCGGUGUAGUGGUGAAAUGCGUAGAUAUCGGGAGGAACACCAGUGGCGAAGGCGGCCUCCUGGACCAUUCCUGACGCUAAGACGCGAAAGCUAGGGGAGCAAACGGGAUUAGAAACCCCGGUAGUCCUAGCCGUAAACGAUGUGAACUUGGCGUUGGUGGGGUAAAAGCCAUCAGUGCCAAAGCUAACGCGAUAAGUUCACCGCCUGGGGACUACGACCGCAAGGUUAAAACUCAAAGGAAUUGACGG
rnacentral:rRNA from 1 species